rnacentral:rRNA from 1 species
UACGAAGGGGGCUAGCGUUGCUCGGAAUCACUGGGCGUAAAGGGUGCGUAGGCGGGUCUUUAAGUCAGGGGUGAAAUCCUGGGGCUCAACUCCAGAACUGCCUUUGAUACUGAAGAUCUUGAGUCCGGGAGAGGUGAGUGGAACUGCGAGUGUAGAGGUGAAAUUCGUAGAUAUUCGCAAGAACACCAGUGGCGAAGGCGGCUCACUGGCCCGGUACUGACGCUGAGGCACGAAAGCGUGGGGAGCAAACAGG